GUCUCCAUAAAAUGCAGUAGUAUAAAGUUACAUCAAAUAAUGUCUACUGCUUGACAGGGGUCACAGGGAAACUGUGUUUUAUAACCAUUAAAACUGGAUCAUUCUGGACACAAGCUUUGUGAGGUGAAUUAGGCUGUUCUCUCAUAAAAAGUACUUACACUUAAAUGUGUAUUCUUACUACCAAUCUUUUUAUUGAAAAUUUUAUUAAAUUCUAUUUUGAAAUAUCUGUAGCAAUUGCUCACUAAGACAGAGGAUAUGAGGUUGGACUGAUCCCUCAACAUCCAGUCUUAAUUUUACAGUGUUAUAUAUAUUGGCUUAAUCUCAAAAGGGAAAACCAAGAAAAAAGAUAAACUGAAUACAUUUUAAUACAGAUUAAAAGAAUCUGUAUUAUAUGUAAUACUUAAUAGGCUUAAUGAUGUGGCUUUACAGAUGGUACUACUUCCAUAAUUUAGUAUUCUCCUAGCCACAGAAUCCUUGUCUAUCCCAGCUGGACUACGUGACAUCUCAGGAAAUCAUUCAUCAGCCACUUGAUGUGUUUGUUAACAUACCUGGAGUUCAUCUACCUUCAGGAGAAUUUCAGCCAAAGAACCAAUCAUAUGUAAAGCACCAUCUUUCUUGCGAGGAUCAGCAUUUGGCUCUGUAAGGAUCUGAUAACAAAAGCCCAUUGUCUUCUGCAGGACCUAGAUUACAUGGAAGGCCAGCACAAAGAAUUAACUGGGUUAAAAAAUGCUCCAUUUCUCAUUUCUCUGCAGAAGAGGAUUAUCAGAGCCUUGUGUAAUACCUGUAGUGUUUACAGGUAUGCCUCUGACCUGAGGGAUAAAAACUCCCAAACCCCUCAAGAUUCCUUGUUCUAGCCAUAUAAACAUUCUUAGAGAAGGGAAGAAUUUGUUCAGGGAGUCUGAAGUAUUUUUUUGUUCCCAGCCUCAGAGGACUGCACAGACUUACAAUAAACUCCAACCUAAAGUAGCAGAGCACAGGAGGUGAAAUGGGACAAGUCUGGAAUGCCAGGCUUACUCCAUAAUGUGUCAUUUAGCACUGGGGUAAAUCUGCUCUGAACUGUGCCAUGGGUGAAAUUCCCUAAGAAAUCCAGGGCCUGAAAUAUUAACUGUUUAUGGUGUAAGCUUUAAAUGACAUUAAAUUUAUGUAGUUGUUGCUAGCAAGACCAGCACUGUUUGACUUGCAAUAAAAACUCUGUAACUGUAAAAAUUAAAUACUUUCAC